UACGGAGGGUGCAAGCGUUAUCCGGAUUCACUGGGUUUAAAGGGAGCGUAGGUGGCUUUGUAAGUCAGUGGUGAAAUCUUAGAGCUUAACCCUAAAACUGCCAUUGAUACUGCUUAGCUUGAAUCACGUCGAGGUGGAUGGAAUAUUACAUGUAGCGGUGAAAUGCUUAGAUAUGUAAUAGAACACCGAUUGCGAAGGCAGCUCACUACACGUAUAUUGACUCUGAGGCACGAAAGCGUGGGGAUCAAACAGG
rnacentral:rRNA from 1 species